rnacentral:rRNA from 1 species
UUCCAGACUCCUACGGGAGGCAGCAGUGGGGGAUAUUGCACAAUGGGGGAAACCCUGAUGCAGCGACGCCGCGUGGGUGAAGAAGCGCCUCGGCGCGUAAAGCCCUGUCAGCAGGGAAGAAAAUGACGGUACCUGAAGAAGAAGCCCCGGCUAACUACGUGCCAGCAGCCGCGGUAAUACGUAGGGGGCAAGCGUUAUCCGGAUUUACUGGGUGUAAAGGGGGCGCAGACGGCGAUGCAAGCCAGGAGUGAAGGCCCGGGGCCCAACCCCGGGACUGCUCUUGGAACUGCGUGGCUAGAGUGCAGGAGGGGCAGGCGGAAUUCCUGGUGUAGCGGUGAAAUGCGUAGAUAUCAGGAGGAACACCGGUGGCGAAGGCGGCCUGCUGGACUGCAACUGACGUUGAGGCCCGAAAGCGUGGGGAGCAAACAGGAUUAGAUACCCCAGUACAG